CUUGCUUCAGCAGCAAUAAACUAUAAAAUUGGAACUAUACAGAAAAGAUAAGCAUGACCCCUGCACUACAAUGGCACACAAAUUUCUGCAAGAGCACUAUAUUUUA
rnacentral:snRNA from 1 species